rnacentral:rRNA from 1 species
GAUGAACGCUGGCGGCGUGCCUAAUACAUGCAAGUCGAGCGAAUGGAUUAAGAGCUUGCUCUUAUGAAGUUAGCGGCGGACGGGUGAGUAACACGUGGGUAACCUGCCCAUAAGACUGGGAUAACUCCGGGAAACCGGGGCUAAUACCGGAUAACAUUUUGAACCGCAUGGUUCGAAAUUGAAAGGCGGCUUCGGCUGUCACUUAUGGAUGGACCCGCGUGGCAUUAGCUAGUUGGUGAGGUAACGGCUCACCAAGGCAACGAUGCGUAGCCGACCUGAGAGGGUGAUCGGCCACACUGGGACUGAGACACGGCCCAGACUCCUACGGGAGGCAGCAGUAAGGAAUCUUCCGCAAUGGACGAAAGUCUGACGGAGCAACGCCGCGUGAGUGAUGAAGGCUUUCGGGUCGUAAAACUCUGUUGUUAGGGAAGAACAAGUGCUAGUUGAAUAAGCUGGCACCUUGACGGUACCUAACCAGAAAGCCACGGCUAACUACGUGCCAGCAGCCGCGGUAA